CCUUACAAAAGUGAUCAGUUAGUUUCAAUUGAGUGUCUAAUGUAUUGUUAUACACUGCAUUAGAACUCGAUUGAAACUCAUUGAUAACUUUUGUAA
rnacentral:pre_miRNA from 1 species